rfam:Triticum aestivum genome assembly, contig: Triticum_aestivum_CS42_TGACv1_scaffold_404386_5BL
CUUGUACUCCCUCCGUCCGGAAAUACUUGUCAUCAAAAUGAAUAAAAGGGGAUGUAUGUAGACAUAUUUUAGUUCGAGAUACAUCUCCUUUUAUCCAUUUUGAUCGCAAGUAUUUUUGGACGGAGGGAGUAUAUA